rnacentral:miRNA from 1 species
CGGUCGCGAUAGUAGCGCGCGCUACUAUCGCGUCCGCAAAACACGUCGUUUCGCGGACGCGAUAGUAGCGCGCGCUACUAUCGCGC